rnacentral:rRNA from 1 species
CCGCGGGAUUAGAGUUUGAUCAUGGCUCAGAUUGAACGCUGGCGGCAGGCCUAACACAUGCAAGUCGAGCGGUAACAGAAAAGAAGCUUGCUUCUUUUGCUGACGAGCGGCGGACGGGUGAGUAAUGCCUGGGAAUAUGCCUUAUGGUGGGGGACAACAGUUGGAAACGACUGCUAAUACCGCAUAAUGUCUACGGACCAAAGGGGGGGAUCUUCGGACCUCUCGCCAUUUGAUUAGCCCAAGUGAGAUUAGCUAGUUGGUAAGGUAAUGGCUUACCAAGGCGACGAUCUCUAGCUGGUUUGAGAGGAUGAUCAGCCACACUGGGACUAAGACACGGCCCAGACUCCUACGGGAGGCAGCAGUGGGGAAUAUUGCACAAUGGGGGAAACCCUGAUGCAGCCAUGCCGCGUGUGUGAAGAAGGCCUUCGGGUUGUAAAGCACUUUCAGUUGUGAGGAAAGGUGUGUAGUUAAUAGCUGCAUACUGUGACGUUAACAACAGAAGAAGCACCGGCUAACUUCGUGCCAGCAGCCGCGGUAAUACGAGGGGUGCAAGCGUUAAUCGGAAUUACUGGGCGUAAAGCGUUCGUAGGCGGUUGAAUAAGCAAGAUGUGAAAGCCCAGGGCUCAACCUUGGAACUGCAUUUUGAACUGUUCGACUAGAGUACUGUAGAGGGAGGUAGAAUUUCA